CAAUACGGAGGAAAAGAAACCAACAGGGAUUGCCUCAGUACGGCGAGUGAGCGGCAAAAGCUCAAAUUUGAAAUCCCCCGGGAAUUGUAAUUUGAAGAGAUUUGGGUCCGGCCGGCAGGGGUUAAGUCCACUGGAAAGUGGCGCCACAGAGGGUGACAGCCCCGUGAACCCCUUUAACGCCCUCAUCCCAGAUCUCCAAGAGUCGAGUUGUUUGGGAAUGCAGCUCUAAGUGGGUGGUAAAUUCCAUCUAAAGCUAAAUACCGGCGAGAGACCGAUAGCGAACAAGUACAGUGAUGGAAAGAUGAAAAGCACUUUGAAAAGAGAGUGAAAAAGUACGUGAAAUUGUUGAAAGGGAAGGGCUUGCAAGCAGACACUUAACUGGGCCAGCAUCGGGGCGGCGGGAAACAAAACCACCGGGGAAUGUACCUUUCGAGGAUUAUAACCCCGGUCCUUAUUUCCUUGUUGCCCCGAGGCCUGCAAUCUAAGGAUGCUGGCGUAAUGGUUGCAAGUCGCCCGUCUGA
rnacentral:rRNA from 2 species